UACGUAGGGGGCGAGCGUUGUCCGGAUUUAUUGGGCGUAAAGCGCAUGCAGGCGGUCCUGUAAGUUUGGAGUGACAGUUUCCGGCUCAACCGGGAAAGUGCUUUGAAAACUGCGGGACUUGAGGGCUUCAGAGGGACACGGAAUUCCGGGUGGAGUGGUGAAAUGCGUAGAUAUCCGGAGGAACACCGAAGGCGAAGGCAGUGUCCUGGGGAGUACCUGACGCUCAGAUGCGAAAGCCAGGGGAGCGAACGGG
rnacentral:rRNA from 1 species